rnacentral:lncRNA from 1 species
GGGGGUGGAGGAUGUAGACAACUAUAAUCAUGCUGAAACACAAACAUACCUUUCAGAAUCCAAAUAAAUUUAUUAUAAUUCUUCCUGAUUAUUUUAAACAGGUGUGCAAUUAUGAAAUCUUAUGCUAAUUUUAUGUCUUUGCUUAUUUAUUAUGUAACAAGUAUGCAACUAAAGAAUCAUAAAAAUUUAUGUUAAUUUAUGCCUUUAGAUUUAACUAACUAUUUUUAUAUCUUCGUCUCUUGUUACAAAAAUGGCUUCAAAAUACAAAGGUAUUCUACGUACUAUUCCCAUAGCCUUAUAAGAUGAGGACAAUGCAGUAAUGAGACAAUAAGGCAGCAC